GACGGGGGGGGCAAGUGUUCUUCGGAAUGACUGGGCGUAAAGGGCACGUAGGCGGUGAAUCGGGUUGAAAGCGAAAGUCGCCAAAAAGUGGCGGAAUGCUCUCGAAACCAAUUCACUUGAGUGAGACAGAGGAGAGUGGAAUUCCCGGUGUAGCGGUGAAAUGCGCAGAUAUCGGGAAGAACACCUAUGGCGAAGGCAGCUCUCUGGGACGGUACUGACGCUGAGACGCGAAAGCGUGGGGAGCGAACAGG
rnacentral:rRNA from 1 species